rnacentral:rRNA from 1 species
GCUUAACACAUGCAAGUCGAACGGAGCUUUUCGGAGCUAAGUGGCGGACGGGUGAGUAACACGUAUGCAACCUACCCUUUACAGGAGAAUAGCCCCGAGAAAUCGGGAUUAAUACUUCAUGGUAUCAUAAGAUCGCAUGGUCUAAUGAUUAAAGUUUCGGCGGUAAAGGAUGGGCAUGCGGUCUAUUAGUUUGUUGGUAAGGUAACGGCUUACCAAGACUUCGAUAGAUAGGGGGUCUGAGAGGAUGAUC